rnacentral:misc_RNA from 1 species
CGCAUCUGUCGGUCCACAAAUCACGCAUCCGUCAUGGCAGCGACAGACAGACAAGAUUUAACUUGCAUCCAUGGCAGCCGCCGCGCAUCUGUCGGUCCACAAAUCACGCAUCCGUCGGUCCCAAAUCACGCGCCAGGGAAGGUGCUUUCCAAAUCAUGCGCCAGAGAAGGCGCCUUCCCAAAACACACAUCCAUGGCAGCCGUCGCGCCCGCGCCAGGGAAGGUGCUUCCCAAAUCACGCGUCAGGGAAGGUCCUUCCCAGAUCACGCAUUCAUGGCAGCCGCGCCCGUAAACCGCGCCUCCCCCACGACGCUCUUCCAUCCACAGCGUCGCCCCCUUCCAUCCAUGGCAG